UACGGAGGGGGCUAGCGUUGUUCGGAAUUACUGGGCGUAAAGCGCACGUAGGCGGACUGUUAAGUCGGGGGUGAAAUCCUGGGGCUCAACCUCAGAAUUGCCUCCGAUACUGGCAGUCUCGAGUGCGGGAGAGGUGAGUGGAAUUCCCAGUGUAGAGGUGAAAUUCGUAGAUAUUCGCAAGAACACCAGUGGCGAAAGCGGCUCACUGGACCAUAACUGACGCUGAUGCACGAAAGCUAGGGGAGCAAACAGG
rnacentral:rRNA from 1 species